ACUAGAUGGCGGAAACGUUUCACAGAGUCUGUUCGGGCCAUCUGUAAAAUGACUACAUCCUGUCCCUACAGAUGUGGGAGGCGGGAACAGAAAACGUCUGAUUGAAAAGUGUGAUUGACAGGCGUUUCAGCCAACAGUGGCCGUGUUUAGAGUCUUAGGUCCCGCCCCAAGUGGAGGCAGCAGCCGAAAGCUUUAAUCAGUAUCACACAACAAUAAUGAAUGGAAACACGUCGGGGCCAACAAAGUUGAGCAGCAGCAGCAGCAGCAGUAGUUAGAAGACAGCGGAGCUCGGCUGUUUGAAAACUUCUUUGGACAUGGAUUGGCGGGGAAAAACGCAGAGUACUCAGUGGAAGAGCUGGCAGCUUAACUUUUAUUAGUUUUAUAGACAUAUUUCGUGAAGAUAGGACGGCGGACUCAGAUCGUAAAUGGCAUUUUGGGAGAGUAAUAAGAGACUAUUGCACUGUCAGCUUUUUGUCUCAGCGUGGAGAAGUGGAUUAUUGAGUUUCAUCAGUGGGUGAAACGGUCGGAAUACUUGGGAAUAAGUUCGUUUGGACGAUUUUUUCGCUGUUUUGUUUGUUUGUUUUUGUUUUACCUUGGGCAAAGUUUUUAAAUAACUUGAAGGACGAUCCAGUUGUGAGACAAUGGGGAAUAUAGAGAGUGUGGAUGGACAGUCGGAGAUGAAACAUCACAUCAUGCCUCUGAAGGUGCCCAUGCCUGACCCGACUGAGCUGGAGGAGAAGUUUGCCAUUGUGUUGAAUUCCAUGAACCUCCCACCAGACAAAGCCCGACUUCUGAGACAAUAUGACAAUGAGAAGAAAUGGGAUCUAAUCUGCGACCAGGAGAGGUUCCAGGUGAAGAAUCCACCUCACACCUACAUCCAGAAGCUGCGAGGAUACUUAGACCCUCGAGUCACACGCAAGAAGUUUCGGCGGCGAGUCCAGGAGUCUACAAAAGUCUUGAGGGAGCUGGAGAUAUCACUGAGAACCAACCACAUCGGGUGGGUCAGGGAGUUCCUCAAUGAUGAGAACAGAGGUCUUGACAUCCUGGUGGAGUAUCUAUCCUUUGCUCAGUGUGCUGUCAUGUUGGAUUUUGAAGGGCUGGAGAAUGGGGAAGAAGGCUACUUGGACAAGACUAAGUCUUGGAGCAGGUCCAUAGAGGAUCUGCACCACACAGGCACACAACCCUUCUGCAACACACUGGUGCGCUCUGCCCGCCAGUCUGUCCUCCGCUACGGCUCCAUCUCCAACACCAAAACCAUCAAAAACUCUCGCCUUGUGAGCCAAAAGGAUGAUGUGCAUGUCUGCAUCAUGUGCUUGAGAGCAAUCAUGAACUACCAGUAUGGCUUCAAUAUGGUCAUGUCCCACGCGCACGCGGUCAAUGAAAUCGCCCUGAGCUUAAACAAUAAGAACUCACGCACAAAAGCCUUAGUCCUUGAGCUGCUCGCUGCCGUCUGUCUAGUCCGAGGAGGUCACGAGAUAAUCCUGUCAGCGUUUGACAACUUUAAAGAGGUGUGUAAGGAGAAACAUCGGUUUGAGAGACUGAUGGAUUAUUUCCGCAGUGAGGAGGGAAACAUUGACUUCAUGGUUGCUUGCAUGCAGUUCAUCAACAUUGUUGUCCACUCUGUUGAGGACAUGAACUUCCGGGUCCAUCUACAGUUUGAGUUCACAAAACUGGGGUUGGAUGACAAUCUGGAGAAAUGUAAACAUACAGAAAGUGACAAGCUGUCGGUGCAGAUCCAGGCCUACCUGGACAACGUGUUUGACGUGGGUGGUCUCUUAGAGGAUGCAGAGACCAAGAAUGCAGCACUGGAGAAGGUGGAGGAGCUGGAGGAGCACCUGUCUCAUGUGACAGAGAAGCUUCUGGAGGUCGAAAAUGAAACCAUGAUGAAAGUGGCAGACCUGGAGAAGCUGCUCCUACAGAAGGACAAGGACUUGCAAACAAUCCGGGAGACAUACGAGUCCACCAGCACCCAAGUCAACACGCUGAGGAGGAUGAUCAAGGAGAAGGACGCAGCAUCCCAGAGGCAUGUCAACAUUGAGAGACGGCUGCUGGAGCUGGAGCAGCAGGGCACCAUCCGUCUGCACAAGAAGCCUGACGGAGACAUUUCGAUCGAGCCACUGGGUGUGGGCGGAGCUGGUGUAGGACAUGGUGCUGGUUCUGGCCUUGGGAUCCCUCUAGGUAACAUUGGACAGCUGUCUCUGGGUCCAGCAGCAGAGUUUGCAGGACUGGGAGGAAUAGACACCAGUUUACCACCAGCCAGUGAGGCUCCUCCUCCACCUCCACCACCACCACCUCCUCCUCCACCACCUCCCCUGCCUUCGACCACAGGCCCAAGUCCUCCAGCCCCACCACCUCCUCCUCCUGCCCCACCUCUGCCAGACGCUUCUCCAUCAGUUAUCCUGAGUGUGGGUCUCUCAGCCAUCAGAAUCAAAAAGCCAAUAAAGACAAAGUUCCGCCUGCCUGUGUUUAACUGGACGGCGCUGAAGCCCAAUCAGAUCAACGGGACAGUCUUCAAUGAGAUUGAUGAUGAACGCGUGUUGGAGGAGCUUGAACUAGAGAGGUUUGAGGAGCUGUUCAAGACCAGAGCUCAGGGUCCAGUUGUGGAUCUCGCCUCCACAAAAAGCAAAGUGUCCCAGAAGGUGGUGAACAAGGUGACGCUUCUGGACCAUAAUCGAUCUAAGAACUUAGCCAUCACAUUGCGAAAGGCCAACAAGACCACAGAUGAGAUCUGCAAAGCAAUAGAGAAGUUUGAUCUCAAGGCCUUACCUGUGGACUUUGUGGAGUGCCUGAUGCGUUUCCUGCCCACGGACGCAGAGGUCAAGGUGCUGCGUCAGUACGAGCGCGAGCGGCGCCCCCUGGAUCAGUUGGCAGAGGAGGAUCGUUUUAUGCUGUUUUUCAGCAAGAUUGAGAGACUAACUCAGAGAAUGAACAUUAUCACCUUUGUUGGCAACUUCGCCGACAACGUCAACAUGCUCACGCCGCAGCUCAACGCAGUAAUCGCCGCUUCUGGAUCAGUCAAAUCUUCACCAAAGCUGAAGAGGAUACUCGAAAUCAUCUUAGCUCUGGGGAACUACAUGAACAGCAGCAAACGAGGUUGUGUUUACGGUUUUAAAUUACAAAGUCUUGAUCUGCUGCUGGACACUAAAUCUACAGACAGGAAGAUGACCCUGCUCAACUACAUAGCUCUCAUAGUGAAGGAGAAAUACCCUGAACUGGCCAACUUCUAUAAUGAACUGCACUUUGUGGAAAAAGCUGCAGCAGUGUCUCUGGAAAAUGUGCUGCUGGACGUCAAAGAGCUGGGGAAGGGCAUGGACCUGAUCCGAAGAGAGUGCAGCCUCCAUGACCAUUCAGUCCUCAAAGGCUUCAUCCAGGGCAGUGAUGGACAGCUGGACAAGCUGCAGAAGGAUGCGAAGGCAGCAGAGGAAGCAUUCAACAAUGUGGUGAACUACUUUGGAGAGAGCGCCAAGACGACUCCACCCUCGGUGUUUUUCCCUGUGUUUGUGCGCUUUAUCAAAGCCUACAAGGAUGCAGUGACAGAAAACGAGCAGAGGAAAAAGCAGGAGGAGGCAAUGAGGGAAAAGUUGUUGGCUCAGGAGGCCAAACAGCACGACCCUAAGGUCCAGGUUCAGAAGAAGAGGCAGCAGCAGCAGGAGCUGAUUGCGGAGCUACGCAAGCGACAAGCCAAAGACCACCGGCCCGUGUACGAGGGCAAGGACGGCACGAUAGAGGACAUCAUCACAGUCCUGAAGAGCGUGCCCUUCACAGCCCGCACUGCUAAACGUGGCUCACGGUUCUUCUGUGAAGCCAACCUCUGCGACGACGCCAACUGCUAGCCCUCCCCUCCCUUAAUGCCAAGCUGAGAAGAAGAUUAAUGACAGUAUUUCACUCUUCUAACAGAGGAUCUCCGAAACCAGCCCUUCCUGCGAGCUGAUGCGUUGAUCCGGAGCGGUUGGAAGAGACCCUAAACCACUUAUUCAUCACUUAAACCCCCCCUCCCCCCGAUAUAACCUUCCUCCCUGUGCCCUGAUGGUUCAUCUCAACCCUGAGGCUGCAGCUUACAAAGACUGAAAAGAGAGGAGAGGACAGAGGCCUUGUCUUAGCUGGGUAAUUUAUUUAUUUAUGGAGGCCCCUAAGAGCCACUUUAGGACAGCGGGCAUUGUUGUGAAAGCACAGAGGCUCAACCCUCACUCACUACAGGGAGAAGACUUUUCCUGCUCUGGUGGAACUGAGACUUAGAUCUGCUGAAUCCUGACUACAGGUGAGAGGGGUGUAAGGUGGGGAGGGGUGGUGUCUAAAGCAGGACAGAACAGUGCCUUCAUUCACUAGUGCUUGCCAACAUUAUUCUCAAGGAAGAUUUUUUUUUUUCCGCAGAAUGUGUCAUUGUUGUAGACUAGAACUGAGAUGCAGCACGACGUCCUAACAAUCCUUAAUGUCACACGUUUGUGGGCUGUUUAAUUUAUACAAAGCCAAGUCGAUACUUUCAUGUAGGGUUCAAACAAAGACAAUGGUGUAUUUUGAAUUCAAUCAAAUGUGUCUCAGAGGAAUGGGUUUCCUUUGUGUGGAGCUAGCCAAACCAAACCUCCUUGAAUGUCUUAUGUUUUCACUCACAAAGUGCCUUUUUUCUGUGUUAACAGUGUUAUGUCUAUGGACUAUUGAUAAGAACGGACACCUUAGAAAGACCGCAAGUGCUCCGCUGGUUCAGGAAGUACGAGGCUAUGUCAUGAGGACAGAUGUUGGCAUUUCAGGUUUAUAUUUGUCAUCAGUUAUCAUUUAUUUGAUUUAAACCUUAAUAUACAAAGAAAUGAAAUCAGAGCAAACUAAUUGUUAACCAAACUUAAGUAAAAACUUGUUACAGGAAUGGACAAGUGAUAUUGCGCGAUGCUGUUCUUUAGUAAAAAUUGAAAAGAAGAGACAUAGAAGCAGAAUUUUCUGAUGGUAAUGGAGAAUAUAAAAAGAAAGAACUUAUUAUAUUACUUAUAUUUUCAAAGCAAAUAUUUAUUGAAUUGUUUUUUUAACUUUCUGACGUAUUGUCAUAACACAGUUUAUAGAAAUGGGCAAUACUUCCUAUUUAAUUUAGAUAUUUCUUUUGUUUAUUUUUUCCUCAAUCCUACAGUUUUAAUCACUAAAUCUUGAGCUUAGUCAAUAUAAUAUGUCAAUUCUAUUCAUUUUCAGUUAUUUACAAUUUACUGGACAGUGAAAUGUAAGAUGGAAAGCAAAUAGAAAUGGGCACACAUUUGAUUUCCUUUUGCUGUUACUGGUUUGUCCAGUAGGAGGCGGGCUUUCGAGACAUAAGGUUCGCAUUGGAGGUAAAUGUCACUGAUAGCGUGAUAAUGAUCAAUGAUCAGUGACUGUAAUGCAGGGGUCUCUAAGUCAUGACUAGAUGUCAAUAAUAAUUAACGUUUAAAGGUAAUUUUUUAAAAUGUCAUUUUUCCUUAUAUAAUACUGCUUUAGUUGGCCAUUAAGGUUGUUUACACUGUAGUAUUGUGUAUGUAUUAUUUGACCCCUGUUCUAAUUGGACAAGUUAACUGUCAAUCUUCUGACAGCUGAAAUCAUGUUUCCUAAAAUAAUGUUGAACCCAACAUUAAAGAGCCUCUGAUGAUCAGGAGGUUUUUCACUGAUAUUCAAAAUCUGUAUACUUCUAUACAAACUGCGUUACUUCCUUAACCAGCCAACCACUUCGGUUGUUUCCUUUGCUUCCCUCUGAGCUGAUUGGUCUGUUUCUUAUACACAGUUUACCUUAGUUUUUCACAGGUCAGCCGUGUUGACCUUCUGCAACACUGUUCAUUUGUCAAAGAUUGUAUCUUUAUUUCUGUGUACUUUAAAAAAUAGCCUUAUUUAGUUACUGAGAAUGAUAUGCAAAUGUUCUGAGAUCUGGAGGCACAUCACAAAGAGAAGGUAGAUGGCGAUGUUACGACUGUUCUGACCUGUAUGGUUUUUGUGUUUCUGUGCCAUGACCAACACAACUGAAUUGUAUUUGUAAGAAAUCAUGAAACUGAAUGUUUUGCGUCUUGACAACACUUUUGGUCACAGCUAAUGUGACAUUAUGCAAAGUGACAAAAAAGUAGAAGAAGAAGAGAGAAGUAAAAGAAGGCUUCAUGUGGACUGCUGUUAAUGGUCUUAGAUGGUGACCUGCCACAGAUGUGGUGAUGGAUGAAGGACAUUUCAAUAUUGUUUUUUAAACUCAGAUGAGACGAUGACUUUUCUCCUAACAGCAUGUGUUUUUUGUUUUCUUUAAUAUAACAAUGGCACAAAGAAAGACGUCGUCACACUACUUAAUUUGGCUCAUGUUGAAUAAAACACUAUCCUUUAAGUGGACUUUUACAUGUAUGUAUAUUGAAAUUAAAAAUCGAAUUUAGAAUAAAUCAUCUGUAUUAUA